GACGUAGGGCGCGAGCGUUGUCCGGAUUUAUUGGGCGUAAAGAGCUCGUAGGCGGCUUGUCGCGUCGACUGUGAAAACCCGUGGCUCAACCAUGUGGUCUGCAGUCGAUACGGGCAGGCUAGAAUUCGGUAGGGGAGACUGGAAUUCCUGGUGUAGCGGUGAAAUGCGCAGAUAUCAGGAGGAACACCGGUGGCGAAGGCGGGUCUCUGGGCCGAUAUUGACGCUGAGGAGCGAAAGCGUGGGGAGCGAACGGG
rnacentral:rRNA from 1 species